CCUACGGGGGGCUGCAGUGGGGAAUAUUGGACAAUGGGGGGAACCCUGAUCCAGCCAUGCCGCGUGUGUGAAGAAGGCCCUCGGGUUGUAAAGCACUUUCAGUGAGGAAGAACGCCUGGUGGUUAAUACCCAUCAGGAAAGACAUCACUCACAGAAGAAGCACCGGCUAACUCCGUGCCAGCAGCCGCGGUAAUACGGAGGGUGCGAGCGUUAAUCGGAAUUACUGGGCGUAAAGCGCGCGUAGGUGGCUUGAUAAGCCGGUUGUGAAAGCCCCGGGCUCAACCUGGGAACGGCAUCCGGAACUGUCAAGCUAGAGUGCAGGCGAGGAAGGUAGAAUUCCCGGUGUAGCGGUGAAAUGCGUAGAGAUCGGGAGGAAGGCCAGUGGCGAAGGCGGCCUUCUGGACUGACACUGACACUGAGGUGCGAAAGCGUGGGUAGCAAACCGGAUUAGAUACCCCUGUAGUC
rnacentral:rRNA from 1 species